rnacentral:RNase_P_RNA from 1 species
ACUGCGUAUCGUGCAAUCGUCCCGUUCUGCUUUUGUAGAGUGGGAAGGAAAGUCCGGACACCACAGGACAGAGUACCCUGUGAAAAUGGGGGUGCAACGAACGAAAGUUCGAUGCAACGGAUAGUGUAACAGAAAAUAUACCGUCCUUCUUCUCGGUCUUCGACCUCGCUCAGGACACGUCCCGAGCGAACGAAGUGAGUCGAGGGAUAAGGGUGAAAUGGCGAAGGUAAAAGCUCACCAGUUCCAUGCGUAAGCUGGAAGCUUGACAAACCCUGCUCGGUGCAAGACCAUGUAAAUCCCGCUUCCAACCAUGGUUGAGAGAAGAGUGGUCCGCUCAACUUUUUGUUCCGGCAUUGCCGGAUCAGAAAAGCGGGAUGGGUAGGUCGCUAAAACCCCUUCUUUGAAGGGUAAGAUGAAUGAUUGCAAUUCCGCAUCGCUAAAGCGGUGCGGAAUACAGAAUCCGGCUUAUAGAUGCGCAGUAUUU